CGGCGGGUGGAGAACUGUUCGUUCGUCGACUCGUCCUCGGCCGGUUCGUUGCGCCGGCGCAGCUCGAUCGGAUCGAUGCCGAGCUCGGUGGC
rnacentral:tRNA from 1 species